AGAAAUGAAGAUUUAGAGAUAAUUCUUAAAGAACCAUUUGUCCAUUAGGAAUAUAACAAGUAGGCUCCGGAAGUAUAAGCUUUCAGAGCGCCCGGAUAGCUCAGUCGGUAGAGCAUCAGACUUUUAAUCUGAGGGUCCAGGGUUCAAGUCCCUGUUCGGGCGUUGCGUUUUUUGCUUUUCUGGAACUUCUAUUGAUAAUCACACAACUAAUAGAAAAGAUGUUCCAAAUUUUGAGCUACCAUGGAAGAAAUCCUCUGGGAACUUUAGAGAAUUGCCACCGUGUUACACCAUCACGAGGAACGGCAGAAUUUUGCAUGGAGCAUCGUAAACAUGUACUCAACCCCUGUGUCUGCCGGGUCUCAGGCAUUGUGCCAAGGGCCUGCCGGGAUAGAAAGAGGAAGGACACAAGUUUCGAGCUCAGUCUGAUGAAGGAGACACGUAAACAGCUCUGUACAACAUCUCUUCUCAUCAGCUGCACUUGCUGUGACCAGAGGGUGGCUGAUUUCUGAAAUUCAUUGGAACAUAAAGCAGCUUGGAGGACUACUGAUGAGGCAGCCAUUCUACGUGUCAUCUUGUCUCUGCAACCGUCCAAAAACCGCCCAGCAGUCUGUGUCUUCUGAAAAAAACAGUCUGGCUUGGAUCCAUACUCGUGUUUGUCGUCAUCUACAAGAGCACUGGUUGAUCAGUUACCAUUAAAAUGACCCAAGACCCUCCCAAACCUGUUGAACUCAUAGGACGGCCUAGACACAUUCAUCUCUAGAGACUCAUUCACUUUAGAUCAGGAAAGAACAAGCACAAGAGAGGGGAUCCCAAAUCCAGGCUCAGGCUUGCUAGGCAGGGCAUGCACUUUCUAUGACUAGUGGACUGCAGUGGGGGAAACAGCUGGAAAUAAUGCUCACAUCAUCCAUAACCAGAAGGAAGAGAGCCUGAGCCUGGAGGUCACUUCUUUUUAAAUGUCUACAGUCAUCAACUUUUCCUGUUUAUUGUUCAAUAAAAUCCUUGUCAUCCUUCCUUGUCA
rnacentral:tRNA from 1 species